CAGUCGUACGAGAAAGGGGCUUCGGCCCUGAGUAGAAUGGCGCACGGGUGAGUAACGCGUGGGUAAUCUGCCCUUGGAUUUGGAAUAACUCCGCGAAAGUGGAGCUAAUACCGGAUAGUCUGGCUUUUUAACGAAGUCGGUAAAGGAUGCCUCUGCAUAUGCAUUCGUCCGAGGAUGAGCCCGCGUCUCAUUAGCUAGUUGGUAGGGUAAUGGCCUACCAAGGCAACGAUGAGUAGCUGGUCUGAGAGGAUGAUCAGCCACACUGGAACUGAAACACGGUCCAGACUCCUACGGGAGGCAGCAGUGGGGAAUAUUGCGCAAUGGGCGAAAGCCUGACGCAGCAACGCCGUGUGAGGGAUGAAGGCUUUCGGGUCGUAAACCUCUGUCAGAAGGGAAGAACGGGUGGUGGUCUAAUAGGCCUCCAUUUUGACGGUACCUUCAGAGGAAGCACCGGCUAACUCCGUGCCAGCAGCCGCGGUAAUACGGAGGGUGCAAGCGUUAUUCGGAAUUACUGGGCGUAAAGCGCACGUAGGCCGCUUUGUAAGUCAGGGGUGAAAUCCCACGGCUCAACCGUGGAACUGCCCUUGAAACUGCGAAGCUUGAAUCCUGGAGAGGGUGGCGGAAUUCCUGGUGUAGGAGUGAAAUCCGUAGAUAUCAGGAGGAACACCGGUGGCGAAGGCGGCCACCUGGACAGGUAUUG
rnacentral:rRNA from 1 species